CGAGCCGGCCAGGCGGCCGCGUGCCGGCGUCGUCGCGGGAGCGGCGGCGACCGGUCCGAGGAACGUCCGGACUCCACAGGGCGAGGUGCUGGGUAACACCCAGUCGGGGUGACCCGCAGGAAAGUGCCACAGAGAACAGACCGCCGAUGGCGCGGCGACGCGUACAGGUAAGGGUGAAACGGUGCGGUAAGAGCGCACCAGCGCCCGGGGUGACCCGAGCGGCUCGGCAAACCCCACCCGGAGCAAGGCCAGACAGGGGGAGGACGGCCCGUCCGACCGAGGGCUCAGGCCCCGAGACCCCCGGGUAGGCCGCUGGAUCCGGCGGGUAACCGCCGGACGAGAGAGAUGGCCGCCCAGGGCCCGCACGGGCCCGGACAGAAUCCGGCGUACAGGCUGACUCGCCAC
rnacentral:RNase_P_RNA from 1 species